AUACGAAGGUCCCAAGCGUUAUUCGGAAUCACUGGGCGUAAAGAGUACGUAGGCGGUUUGGUAAGUCAGGUGUGAAAUCCCGGAGCUCAACUCCGGAACUGCAUCCGAUACUGCCAGACUUGAGUAAUGGAGAGGCAGGUGGAAUUCUCGGUGUAGCAGUGAAAUGCGUGGAUAUCGAGAGGAAGACCAAUGGCGAAGGCAGCCUGCUGGACAUUUGCUGACGCUGAGGUACGAAGGCUAGGGGAGCGAAAGGGAUUAGAAACCCUAGUAGUCC
rnacentral:rRNA from 1 species